rnacentral:rRNA from 1 species
UACGGAGGGUGCAAGCGUUAUCCGGAUUCACUGGGUUUAAAGGGUGCGUAGGCGGCCAACUAAGUCAGACGUGAAAUCCCUCGGCUUAACCGGGGAACUGCGUCUGAUACUGGAUGGCUAGAGGUUGGGAGAGGGAUGCGGAAUUCCAGGUGUAGCGGUGAAAUGCGUAGAUAUCUGGAGGAACACCGGUGGCGAAGGCGGCAUCCUGGACCAAUUCUGACGCUGAGGAGCGAAAGCCAGGGGAGCAAACGGG